GUGGGGAAUAUUGGGCAAUGGGGGCAACCCUGACCCAGCAACGCCGCGUGAGGGAAGAAGGUUUUCGGAUUGUAAACCUCUGUCCUAUGGGAAGAAGGAAGUGACGGUACCAUAGGAGGAAGCCCCGGCUAACUACGUGCCAGCAGCCGCGGUAAUACGUAGGGGGCGAGCGUUGUCCGGAAUUACUGGGCGUAAAGGGUGCGCAGGUGGCCUGACAAGUCAGAUGUGAAAUACCGAUGCUUAACGUCGGGGCUGCAUUUGAAACUAUGAGGCUGGAGUGCAGGAGAGGGAAGCGGAAUUCCUAGUGUAGCGGUGAAAUGCAUAGAUAUUAGGAGGAACACCAGUGGCGAAGGCGGCUUUCUGGACUGUAACUGACACUGAGGCACGAAAGCGUGGGGAGCAAACAGGAUUAGAAACCCCGGUAGUCC
rnacentral:rRNA from 1 species